CCUACGGGUGGCAGCAGUGGGGAAUAUUGCGCAAUGGGGGCAACCCUGACGCAGCAACGCCGCGUGAAUGAAGAAGGCCUUCGGGUUGUAAAGAUCUUUAAUUGGGGACGAAAACAAUGACGGUACCCAAAGAAUAAGCUCCGGCUAACUACGGGCCAGCAGCCGCGUGAAUACGUAGGGAGCAAGCGUUAUCCGGAUUUACUGGGGUGAAAGGGCGAGUAGGCGGGCUGGCAAGUUGGGUGUGAAAUCCCGGGGCGUAACCCCGGAACUGCUUUCAAAACUGCUGGUCUUGAGUGAUGGAGAGGCAGGCGGAAUUCCUGGUGUAGCGGUGAAAUGCGUAGAUAUACGGAGGAACACCAGUGGCGAAGGCGGCCUGCUGGACAUUAACUGACGCUGAGGAGCGAAAGCGUGGGGAGCAAACAGGAUUAGAUACCCCUGUAGUC
rnacentral:rRNA from 1 species